UGGCUCAGAUUGAACGCUGGCGGCAGGCCUAACACAUGCAAGUCGAGCGGUAGAGAGAAGCUUGCUUCUCUUGAGAGCGGCGGACGGGUGAGUAAUGCCUAGGAAUCUGCCUGGUAGUGGGGGAUAACGUUCGGAAACGGACGCUAAUACCGCAUACGUCCUACGGGAGAAAGCAGGGGACCUUCGGGCCUUGCGCUAUCAGAUGAGCCUAGGUCGGAUUAGCUAGUUGGUGAGGUAAUGGCUCACCAAGGCGACGAUCCGUAACUGGUCUGAGAGGAUGAUCAGUCACACUGGAACUGAGACACGGUCCAGACUCCUACGGGAGGCAGCAGUGGGGAAUAUUGGACAAUGGGCGAAAGCCUGAUCCAGCCAUGCCGCGUGUGUGAAGAAGGUCUUCGGAUUGUAAAGCACUUUAAGUUGGGAGGAAAGGCAGUUACCUAAUACGUGAUUGUUUUGACGUUACCGACAGAAUAAGCACCGGCUAACUCUGUGCCAGCAGCCGCGGUAAUACAGAGGGUGCAAGCGUUAAUCGGAAUUACUGGGCGUAAAGCGCGCGUAGGUGGUUUGUUAAGUUGGAUGUGAAAUCCCCGGGCUCAACCUGGGAACUGCAUUCAAAACUGACUGACUAGAGUAUGGUAGAGGGUGGUGGAAUUUCCUGUGUAGCGGUGAAAUGCGUAGAUAUAGGAAGGAACACCAGUGGCGAAGGCGACCACCUGGACUAAUACUGACACUGAGGUGCGAAAGCGUGGGGGAGCAAACAGGAUUAGAUACCCUG
rnacentral:rRNA from 1 species